UUUACACAGUUUUUAAUGUUAACCAGCAGAUGCUUAGGGGGAAGCUUUUUACUCUAGCGUAUCAAUAGUUUCAUGAAUAGAAACACAGAUAUAAUUUACGAAUUGUUGACUUCCUCCAGUACUUUUCUCUUACAUAUGUGAUCAGAAACUGAAUUACUGAAAUGUAGCUCCCGUUUUCACUUACAUGGUCUUGAAGAUCGCUUGAAGAAGACGACAAUGCUCUGGAAUUCUGUUCAGCAAAAUAUAUGAUCUCGUUGAGAUAGGUUCUGAAGCGAGCCACUGAUGAAAUUAUAAUCCGUGAAAUCAUUUUCCACAAGCCUUUUUUAUUUUGUUUGUUUGGAAGCAGUCUAAAAUACGGGCAUCCUAAUAACUUAUCCUAAGAGGUUUUGACUGAUUGGCGAAGUACAGAAAAAGGCUCCUCCAUUACCAUCCUCCUCAUCUUGAUAGUGUUCCAUGGACGUUAAAUGAGACCUUUUCUGCUAUUCAGGAAGUAACUCAGUUCUGCACCACUGGUUUUUGUAGCUAUCUCGUAAGGCUGCUGGCUGAAAACUGUGUCUAUGCAACCUUCCCAGUGCGGAGUGUCACCCAACUGGACAGGGGAGAGCACUGCUCCUACUCCGGGACUCUCCUGAAGCUGAUCAGCUAUACUUCAGAGAAAAAAGAAUAAUAAAUUCCAUGUUUUGUAUAUAUCUGACAAAACUGGCAAAAUCAUACAGACUACUGACUUGAAAACGACCUCUUUUAUAUUUCUCUAUUUCUGGGCUGACGAAUUGGUUUUCAUCUAUCUUUUCCCCUUCAGAAUUUUCCUUGGAAAAAAAAAAAAAACAACUAGCCUAGCUGGUCAUUUCUUUGUAAGGUAGUUAGCAAUUUUAAGUCUUUCUUUGGUCAACUUUUUUUUAAUGUGAAAAGUUAGGUAAGGAACUUUUUUACUGCUUUUAUGUUUUUUCUGUCUUGUUUUGAAACCAUGACGGUUAUUACACUUUUGGUUCCUAAAUAAAAAUGUUUAAAAAAUUAACAGCCAAGUCACAAAGAUAAUGGAUUGCACAUAGACUAAGGAAUAAACUUCAGAUUUGUGAUUUUUGUUUCUAAUCUUGAUGUAAAUUUACACUAUUUAUAAAUACAUAUUUAUUGCUUGAAAAUAUUUGUGAAUGGAAUGCUGUUAUUUUUUCCAGAUUUACCUGCCAUUGAAAUUUUAAGGAGUUCUGUAAUUUCAAACACUACUCCUAUUACAUUUUCUAUGUGUAAAUAAAACUGCUUAGCAUUGUACAGAAACUUUUAUUAAAAUUGUUUAAUGUUUAAA